AAACAGCCUUGCAUAAGUGGAGAGUCUCAACCCCCCCCCCCAAAAAAACCCUGUUUGUUAGCAGGGUGGGCUAAAGGGCUGCCUCUGAUUGUGUCAGGUGGCUAACGUUAGCAAAUGACCCAACACAUGAACACAGCUGCAAGCCAUCCAGACCCCAAGUCAGCAAACCAUGAGGCUCUCCCACCAGGUUUAGAGCCAGGACCUUGCUGGUACCUAUAUUUGAAUGUCAACACACUGAGUGGAUGACCUGACUCCAAUUACCCUCUUAAAUAAAAAGCCAUUAUACCAGGUGUUCAUGUACUUUUCCAUUCCAAGAUGUGGUCUUCCAUAAACAGAUGGAAAAUAAAUGUGCUGUUCAUACAGAUUUACAUAACAGUCAACAGUGGUAAGACACAAAGGACCCUAUUUAAAGGAUCUGGCACCUGGUCUGGAAAGCAUCGCACAGAUGCAUUCAUGGGAUGCACAAGUCAA